GUGCCUGUGGCUCAAAGAGUAGGGUGCUGGCCCCAUAUGCUAGAGGAGGCGGGUUCAAACCUGCCUGGCAAA
rnacentral:tRNA from 1 species